UCUCCCUUUCAAAAUGCCACCCUGUCCCAUCAUGUCACUUUGGAUAUGGGCAGGGCAUCAUCUGGGAUUUGCCUCCUUCCUCAGGAGGUUUUCAUAGCCAUCCCAAGACAUUGCUUAUCUGAUUUCACACACUGCAUAACGGAAUUCAGUUCUGCUAUACUCUACAGAUAGUCCAGAUUAAUGAACUGCCAGGUCAAGCAAAAUGACUGAAAAGGCCUCUCCAUCCAACAGGGACAAUUCCAAUCUGAUUUCAACUGGAGAACUCAGAGCCCCAAUGAAUACAGUGAAACUAGCAUCCUGCUUGUAUUACCAUUCAAUGGACCUGGCAUGGAAGCAUUGAACAGCAAGAUCUCAACCAAGGAAAGGAAUCCACACCCUGUUAUAGCAUUAGAUAGCUUGACAUCUAUAGCAUACAUUGGUGGAUAGAUAGAUAGAGACAUAGAC